rfam:Triticum urartu cultivar G1812 contig1198418, whole genome shotgun sequence.
CCUAUCCAAGACGAUGAGCUCAUCUCAUACAUCAUCCUUGGGUUGGAGGCGGACUAUCAACCUCUGGUGUCGGCUCUCGACGCCCGUGUCACUUCUGCAACCCUCGACGAGCUCUUCGCCAUGCUGUCAAACUUUGAUC